rnacentral:tRNA from 1 species
GCUUUAGUAGUGAUAAUCGGUAACACACGACCCUUCCAAGGUUGGAAUCUGGGUUCGAAUCCCAGCUAUAGCA